ensembl:snoRNA
AACCAGUGAUGAAACUAGAUUCUGCCAAAUGAAUGUCCAUGAUAUUACUCCUUUCCGUUCCAUUUACUCUGAGGUU